AUUGAACGCUGGCGGCAUGCCUUACACAUGCAAGUCGAACGGUAACAGGUCUUCGGAUGCUGACGAGUGGCGAACGGGUGAGUAAUACAUCGGAACGUGCCUAGUAGUGGGGGAUAACUACUCGAAAGAGUGGCUGAUACCGCAUGAGAUCUACGGAUGAAAGCAGGGGAUCGCAAGACCUUGUGCUACUAGAGCGGCCGAUGGCAGAUUAGGUAGUUGGUGGGAUAAAAGCUUACCAAGCCGACGAUCUGUAGCUGGUCUGAGAGGACGAUCAGCCACACUGGGACUGAGAAACGGCCCAGACUCCUUCGGGAGGCAGCAGUGGGGAAUGUUGGACAAUGGGCGCAAGCCUGAUCCAGCAAUGCCGCGUGCAGGAUGAAGGCCUUCGGGUUGUAAACUGCUUUUGUACGGAACGAAAAGCCCUGGGUUAAUACCCUGGGGUCAUGACGGUACCGUAAGAAUAAGCACCGGCUAACUACGUGCCAGCCGCCGCGGUAAAAC
rnacentral:rRNA from 1 species